GAUGAAGAACGCAGCGAAAUGCGAUAAGUAAUGUGAAUUGCAGAAUUCAGUGAAUCAUCGAAUCUUUGAACGCACAUUGCGCCCCCCAGUAUUCUGGCGGGCAUGCCUGUUCGUGCGUCAUUUCAACCAUCAAGCCCUGCUUGUGUUGGGGUCCUGCGGCUGCCCGCAGGCCCUGAAAACCAGUGGCGGGCUCGCUAGUCACACCGAGCGCAGUAGCACAUCUCGCUCAGGGCGUGCGGCGGGCUCCAGCCGUUAAAGCACCCACCUUUCGCAAGGUUGACCUCGGAUCAGGUAGGAAUACCCGCUGAACUUAAGCAUAUCAAUAAGCGGAGGA
rnacentral:misc_RNA from 1 species